rnacentral:rRNA from 1 species
CAGCCGCCGCGGUAAUACGGAGGGGGCUAGCGUUGUUCGGAAUUACUGGGCGUAAAGCGUGCGCAGGCGGUUAUAUAAGACAGAUGUGAAAUCCCCGGGCUCAACCUGGGACCUGCAUUUGUGACUGUAUAGCUAGAGUACGGUAGAGGGGGAUGGAAUUCCGCGUGUAGCAGUGAAAUGCGUAGAUAUGCGGAGGAACACCGAUGGCGAAGGCAAUCCCCUGGACCUGUACUGACGCUCAUGCACGAAAGCGUGGGGAGCAAACAGGAUUAGAUACCCCAGUAGUCCCUGUCUCUUAUAC